GUCGCUUCCCGGAGCACUGACCAGCUCUUUCUUCCUCUUCUCCUCCUUCACGUCUGUCUUCUUGAUCUCUGCCUUGAAGGCCUCCGCCUCCCCGUUCUGGUCAUCCUUCGCCAGCAGGUCCAUGAGCUUGCUGCCUGCGCCUACGCACCUCGACCAGUAUUCACUCGACUCAGUUAUGCUCCUGAAAUCAGUUUCAUGCUUGUUUAACUGGUCUGAUCGCAGCAAAACACAAGGAUACAACGGGUUUACGACUCAGCUAUUUCACAGGUUCAUCACAUAAAUCUCUUUGAGGAUUUAAACCCCGGAUUCUUUUGGAAACGAAAAUACACAGCUCUACAUCUCAAUACUUAAAAAAAUCUGAUUCAUGGCAAAUAUGUGGUUUGUUUUUUUUUUUUUUUUUUUUCAGAGUCAUGAGGCAUUGUAAACCAGCAUUCACACAUCCUACAACUGUUUUAUUCAAUGCAAGAAUGUUUGCAUCUAACGUGCUAAGAAUGUUUUGUUAUCUGUCUCCAUGCCUUGUUUUGGUUCUUUCUUAUUAUCAAGUUCUGAUAUUGCUUACCCUGAGUGCCCAAAUCUGGGUUUAGGUCACCUAGAGAGCAGGGAAUAGCUGGUAGGUCCAGUGGUUUGCUGCUGGGCUGCAGUGAUUUGGAAGUCCAGGGCAUGAAAAAGUUGCUUCGCACAUAAUCUUGCAGUGCAGUACUUUUCCUAUCUCAGCACACACACAUGCAGCAUGGCUUUUUAAGCGACUGGUCACUGGGAAGUCUGUCUAGCAGCUAUAAAAUCAGAAAGCAGAGGUAGCGUAUGCAGCUAAAAAUAUUCUUCCAAAUAAAAGACCUUUCAGUUAAAAAUUGUCUUAUAUAUAUUGCUAGAUGAAAGGCACGUUGCCUUUCUCCCAUGUUUUUUUAUUUUUAUUUUAUUUUAUUUUAUUUUAUUUUUAAUUUUUAGAAUAGAACAGGUAAGUGAUUUCAGAGCCUUAGUUUUAUUAAGAAAGUUUGUAGAAUGAUCUACAGUUCAACUAUGUCAGUCCUAAUAAUGUAUUGAACCACAUCUACAAAAUACAUCCAUGGGAAAAAGAAAGAUCACAAAACUUCACAGACACAGACCUCAUCAGUACAAGUUGUGCUAUUUAAGCCAACAAGACUGCUCAUCGGAGUGGCACCUAUUUGUAUGAAUUCAAGUUUUACUUGUGCCCACUGUUAGUGGAAACAGUUUGUACAUACUUGAGCUAGCUCAUAGAUCAUUAGCAGUCUUGCAUGGGAAGGCAGAGCACAGUGCAGGCUGGUUUUACUGUUUCUCACUGAGCAAAGGAGCCUUUGCUGAGCUCUAUGCUAUUGCAGUAAGGCACUGCAAGCACUGUUUUACAGCCAAUUCAAGGACCUCAACACUACAGUCUGCAGUACGGAGAGACUAGUGGGCAAAGUGCUGGAUAUACAUACAUCUUUGCUUACCUGGAGACCUGGAACUCUGCCCUGCAUACACCAGAGCCUGUGCAGGGCUUCCCUUGACUCUGUUCAUGUACUAUUCAUAAAGAUAUGUCCUCACUUGCAAAAACAGUACAUGCCCAUUUUGCAUGAUAUGUGCAUGCAACACAUCUGGGCUGCAUGUGUGGAAACGUAAAGGCACACACCACAGACAAUUUUACAUGUGCAAUUUUCCAAGUAUGGGUCUACGGGUCUAUAAUGUGGUGUAUCUACAGUGCAGAAAAUGACAUACUUCUGCACAGGAGGGCAUUCUAAAGUGAUUUUCAAAGGAAAAAAAAAGCAACAUUAUUCUUGGUAGCACCGUUAGUAGCAGCUUAUUUCUCCUGGUGGCUCCUGAAUUUUUCUGCAAACCCACCAAGACGGAGUGUUACUCCUAAACAGCAACAUGCACACAGCAAUCAGAAUAUUUCAGAUACUCACUUCUAUAGGCUGAUGUUAUUAAAAUUAAAAACAUCUGCUUUAAGGAAUGCAGAUUUCUAGAUGUAAAAUGCUGCUCUACUCCCACAGUAAAUUCAGCUACUCGAGAAACAAAUUGUGAUUCUGAACAGUCAUUGCAUUGUUUGACACAGUAGCAAAUGUAACAAUGCUACCCUUAAUGUUGUUGUUGUUCAACCAACAAUUGGAACUGGAUAAAGGCUUUCAGCUGGGAACACUUUUCUAAUACCUUGUAGGUAAUGGAAUUCCUAUUGUGUGCUGCGCUCUGACCAUUAGGCCCUGCAUACCAGGCAUCACCCUCAUCUCACCAAGACAGCUCCCAAAGAGAUGAGUUUGUGAUUGCGAUGGGCUUUUUAAUGUCUGUCUGUUAUCAGCUCACUGACACAGUACUGCAGCUGAGGUGAAUGGAGUCCCAGCUGCCUGCAUUUCAGAUACUAUACUCUUAUCCUGUUUAAAGGCAUCGUGGGUUAGAAACACCUCUGCAAAUUCAGGAGAUAGAAAUCUUCUCCCUUUUGAGCACCCCUUAAAAAUCCUUCAGGAAAAACUUCAAUACUCGUUUUACUUUCUCUUAUAUUCGAGCUAAGUUGUGUGUGCCUGUUGGAGUAAUUACAUGUAUUGACUACCAUAUCAAACAUUGAUUGCUGUGCCAAUGACAUAAGCGCAAUCAAUACGAAAGGUGGAGUUGCACUGAACACUGUGGUAUGUCCAUGGGACAUUUUGUUAUUUUGCCUGUCAGGCUGACUCUAAAUAGAAAAAAAAGUUGCAAAUGGGAAAUAUUGAUCCUGCUGACAUGGGAAUAAAGAAAAAUGGAAGAUAAUCCAUGGGAGGACAUUGCCCUAAACUAUGUGGAGAUGGCACAUGACUAAGAAAGCAUUACAUGACCUAGGAGCAUGUAUGGUGGUACCCAUAAGUAAAUAAUGGAAGUUAAAGUCCUUUUUAUAUUCUGACUCCUUAUAAAUCUGACACUAGGUAAAUAUGGUAGUUUCAGAAAAGAUGUAUAAAUGGAAACAUAGACGAAACAUGACUGUAGUGCAAAUUAAGUAAAAAACCCCCACCUUGAUGCCUAAGAGGAUAUCAAUAAUAUGUUCAAACACUUUACUGGAAAGAAUUGGUCCUUUCUUUGGAUUGUAGGUAGAGGAGUUUGGAGACAGGUUCUCUUCCAGUGGUCUGGAAGACCUCCAGGCCAUUUUAAGUACUGAUUGUAGCCACAGCUUCCCAGAGUUGCUGUCAAACGGAAAUUUACUCUUUGUGGGAUGGAUGCCAUGGAGUUAUAAAUUAGACAAAUUAGACUUUAAAUUCUAAUAUUGUUUAUAUCCUGUAAAGGUUGAUAAACACACAUAUGCACAUGCACAUACACAUAUAUGUAUACAUAUACAUAGGAAUUUGAAAAAAAUAAGUGUUAGCAAUUCCUUUCAGUAUUUGCAUCUUAACCAUGUUAACCGGUGUUGCAGUUCAAAAGAAACAUUGGGAUCUGGCUGGAUUAGUAAUAUUUGAGAUCUAUCCAACUCUUGCAAAAUGUCUGAUUCUCCUUCCUUGGGAUUCUCAUGGAUCAUAGUCUUUGUGAAAGCAGGUGUCUUUAUUCCAGCUGGCCACAUGGAGUUUCACUAAGUAAUGUUCACAUGGAGUGCUUCAGACGUCGGUCACUGUAGAAAUGUAAACUAUUUGUGCCUUCAAAACUGGGGAUUAAAAUAAUGAGAAAAAUAAAGUCCAUUCAUUACAUCUGACUUGAAGGAAAUGCUUAUAGAAGGGAAACAGAUGAUUAUGAGACAAAUCUGUAUUUCUUAUGGUCAUGGCCAUGAAACACCAGUUGCUUUUCUUGUAUGGGGAAAGGAGUGUUGCCAGUGGACUAUAGGUUAGACUCUUAGUUUGAGGACAGAUGAACCACAUUUUGUUUCCUUGAUAUAUGAAGAACAGAACGAUAGUUGCCAGGCAGAAUUCCACUAUUGAAAUCUAGAGAUAGGUCUGAAGGGGCACAUGAACACAAAGACUCAUUAGAGUCCAGUGGAUGCUACCUGGGAGUACAGAUACAAUAAAAGAAAAAAAAAAAAAAAAAAGCUAGAAAAAAGUGGGGUUUUUUGGUGACUUUAAAUCACUGCAAUUAAAACUAUUAUUAAACUAGAUUAAAUGAAGCGGAAAUUUGCUUUCAAGUUUUAGAGCCAAGAAUGUUCUUUAUGCCUCUAUCCAUUUCUGUGCUCUACAUACCCUGUGCUGUUUACACAAGGAUUAUCUUGUUUAUUUUACAGAUAUUAUGCUUCAUAGAAACUAAUCAAGAGAAUAUUUCUUUUUUUAUAACAAAAAGUGGAUGUUGAAUUGCUCAAGUUUCUUUUAUACAACAUUCUUGGGUUUGUGAUAGUGUGAUAUUUAAUAAAGUGUUUAUAAAGGCAGAUAUAAUAGUUUAUCAGAUCUCAGGCAGUCAUAAUAACAAAACUGCCCUUAGCCUGAGUGCUAUGUACCGUACUUUGUAAUUUACAGCAUAGUACUUUCUAAAUUACUUCAUAAACUAAGAAAGUUGCCUACCAAAAAAUCAAUCUUAUAAGAACUAAGAAAUCUUUUCCUAAAUAUUUUUUCUGUUACUUAGUCUCCAUACAAAUCAUUAUUAAUAGCUUGGACUCAGACAGAAACUGCACUCCCUUGUAUCAGGCAAGACAUGCAUGCUGUAAGAUAUUUUCAUGCAGUCAAAUCUACUUAAAUUUCCAGUGGAAGAGACUUUUCAGCUUAAAAUACUACACAUCUGAAAUGGUAUCCUGCACAAACAACAGAAUAAAGUGAAGAAAAGGAAACCGACGACCUUACAGUGGGAAUCUAAUGGAGCAAAUUAAGUGGGAGUUAAUAGUUUAUGAGACCAUGAAUAGAGAAUGGAGCCUUUCAUUUUUAUGUUAGCAGUCCAAGUCCCUACCAACUUAUCUUAAGUCUAUUGGGUGGAUUUACUAUAAUGAAAUGUGUACAGGCUUCUUCAGCAGGGAACAAAGCCUUUGCCAAUGAGUCCAGUCUUCCUCUCUGCUGAAGCACCUGCUCUGAGAAAUCUGGCCAGCAAACAACAGGAGACCCAGGCAUUGUGAACCUGCUUCAACAGCCACUGAUGACCAGAAGGUGAUGUGCACCAAGCCUUUUGAACAGGGUCCCCUGGAAAUUCAAGCAUUGAUCUUAGCUCAGGACUUGCGAAUGUGCUGCUCAAUCUAUUGCUGCUUUUAUGUCUUUCAUUAUACCAUCAUCAGAAGUGGUUAUCAGAAGAACUAUAUAAAAUUAGGUACAACAGGAGUCCCAAAAAAUGUAUCCCCUCCUUUGACUUCAACAGCCUGUUUCAUCUGUUUUUCCUCCAAGUUGUUUUGCUUUACAUAUUCUGUAGUAGGUGCCGUCUUUAUUUUUUUUCUCUCCACAACAAAUCCUGAAGAGGUAGUUAAAGCAUCAACACCUAUUAGAGAAAAUGGAAAGAAUACAUCACUGGAAAUCUUGGAAAGUUUUCAGCAGUGUGCUUGUUUCAGAAUAAAUGAAGGCCUCUGAACUAAUCCUCAGAUGAAAAGAAGUUCAUAUACGUCUUUAAUUAGAUCAUGCUAUUGGAACACAAUAUUGUGAUAAAGAAGAUUUAAUAAAGCAUUUUGUCCUUUUAUUACUUUCAUUUCAUGCAACAUAUCUCCUUAUCCAAGCAAGAUGUUUGACUUCAAAGGAAGUGCUAUCCACCCUCCCUUUGCUCAAUAAAUAACUCCCAGAAGAGUAAAAACAAUAUAUGUUUGUAACUUUGCCGACGCUGCUUAGUUGUGAGAAGAUCAAUCAUUGUCGUUCUUUUCUGUAGCUGUGGGUUUAAGAUGAAUCUCUUCCUUGAAGAAAUUUCUGUAUAAUUUGGUGCCCAUCAUUAACCCCUCACCUUCGGGAGAGUGCACCCUAAUAAUAAAAUGAAAUCAAGUAACUUGCCUUGCUGGAGAACAUUCAUCUGAGCAGGGGCUGACCCUGUGCAGAGGGCCUGGUCAAAAUUCAUCCUAAUAAAGGGACUGAAAGGUAGCCAAAGAAUUGUGUUGGAUGGAUGGUUGCAUAAACAGAAAACGACCACUAACUUAUUUUUCUUCAGUAUGAAUAUAAUGAGUAGGCUGUUGACAUGACAAAACAGCCCUCCUAUUUUCAAAUAAACAAAGCCAAAGUGUUUUCAGAAAGAUUAGACUCCAAGGCUGUCAAUAUUAAAGUUAAUUUGUCAAGAUUUCCCAGCUUACACUGUAAAGACUAAAAGAAGCCAGAGAAAACAGAAGGCUGGAUGGUAUCUGAAGAGGCAUAUAUUUCACCUUUUGCUGCAAGGUGUGAUCAUCUGUCAAGACAAGCAUACCUGGCAGAAGUUUGUGUUUUCACAGAUUUCCAGAGAAGGUUCCUUUCUUCUCCAGGUGAUUUAUUUCAGUAUUUCUUUCUCACUGACAAAAGUUGUUCCUGAAUCUUUGCCAACUCUUCUGCCACUGCUACUGAAGCUCAGUGCAUCUUACAGAUACUGUCAACAUGGAGUGUGGUUUAUUCUUUUCUUCUUUGUAGCUGACUUCUACAUAUUUAGUUAGUAUUUUCCUCUUCAGCAUUCUUUUCUCUACACCAGAAAACUUUUUUUUUUUUUUUAAUAUGUAGUGUAUUUCUUAAAUGUUUAAUGUGUCUUGCUGUCUCUUUAAUUCAGCUGUACCUUUAUUGAAAUUGUGUGGCUAAGACUGGACACAGUAGGAAAACUAGACUUCUCCUGCGUUGAGUGGAAUUGAAGGCUUACCUCACUUAUAGCCUGUAUGUCUGUUAAUAUCUCCUGCUAGCUGGCGUGUGUGUGGUGUUUUUUUUGUUUUUGUUUUUUUCAAAUGAUAAUUUUACCACCAAAUAGUUAACCCAAGCUGGGAUGUCUCAGUUUUAUUUUGCAGUACAUUACUCCAGAAAGUGCAAUAAGUCUCUGUUUUCCACUUACCCAUUUCUCCAUUUUAUUGAGAUAAAUUUGAUUUCCAGGCUUUCCCUUCCACCUACAUGGAAUUCUUGCUAGCUUGAUGUUGUCUUUUAUAUAUAAAAUUUAUGCACGAAAUUUAUGUAUAUUCUAUAGCAUAUGAUUUGGAUCAUUCAUGUAGACAUUGACAAGAAUCAGUCCCUGGAUAGAUCUCUCAGAACUCCAACUGAUCUACCUUUCUGUUUGCAAAACAAGCUAUUGAUAACUAUUUUGUGGGUACUGUUAUCCAACCACAGGAAUUCUGAAAGUCAGGGACACAUGGAAAUGAACAUCCAGCUACCAUGUAAUUAAUAAAAUCUUCCAAAUAAAGUGGUUUGAAAAUAUACCCCCUAAAAAGCUCGAACUGAAGAUCUUUUUUAUGCUCAGAUUUUGUUCCUCGACACCUGCAGCUCCCCAAGACUUGUGUGGAACUUGGAAAUGUACAGUUUUAAAGAUUGGCUAAUUAUUUGUACAUAACAUCAUCUGUGGAAUGGAAAAAAUGUAGAAAGAAUAAAAAUGUGAUUACUACUAAGGAUUUUUCAGUCUAAAUUAGGGACAAGAUUGCAUCUGAGAGAGAAGCAUGAUGUCAGACAAACAAGAGUGAAGAAACCCUAUGAGCUAGUUGUUUUGAGAUAGCGCUUUUCCAUUCUUUCUGCUAAAGUUUACUUUUAAUUGAUGUCGAAUUUGGCAGCAUUUGAGGGAGUGUGUGCUUUGGCAGUGAAUUUCAAGGAGGAAACAGGAUGGAAGAAUGAAAUUACUGUUUACGAUUUAACUAGAAUUAGAGGAAGAAGGGGUAAAUUCUGCUUUCAGUUGCACUACAGGAAUUUUAGAACUCAUAUAUGUGCAACAAGCUUUUAUUUUAAACCGCUGUGUCACUUCAGGCUGCUUAAAUUAAAACUCCCAUUUAAUUUUAAUUUACCUGUAAUCUUCAGAAUCUACUGCAAUAAGGUAAACCUUUUUAAAGGCAUCCUUCUGUGUUAUUUUUCCUCGUUUAUUCAGCUUGAUUUAACAUUGUUUGCUUUUCACUUUGUAUUUUAACAAGCUUGCUCUUCAGUUUUAGAGUAAUUUGUGAUCACCCCCAAAUGGAAGUUUAUUUUAUUUUAGUGUUUCUUUCACAACUAAUUUGAACUUACAUCUGGCUUUAAAUAAAUAUUUACAUAGAAAUAACAUGAAAUUGCAUGGUGUAAAUGUAGUGCCAUUCAACUAUGUAAAUAGCAGCAAAGAUGUUUAAUUGAAUAUAAAACACUGGUAAAAUGUAAA